CCCUCUAGACCCAGCUGCGGUUGAAGCUCCUCUACAAAUGGAUAAGACUUUGGUCUUGGUGUAUAUGAGUUUUUGAAAGUAAGGGGAGCAAUAACAAAACUCUUGUUUUAUCAAGAGGUUGUUAUUGCUCCUUUUUUUUUUAUUAGUUCAGUUCAUAGUAGUCUUUUAUUUAUACUUUUUUCGUUAUAAGAAUAAAGAUUUUUAUGGGAAAAAAUAAAUGCUAAAGUGGGCUAUGACUUAGUUCAUGAUUGAGUAUUGCCUUUUUAUUUUCAUUCUGUAUUAAUUUGAAAUUUAUAUGUUCUUGCCUUUUCUUUGUUCAAUUUUUUUUAUAUUGAAAUAAAAAACUUUGCCAUUUUUUGUUAAWAUUUCGUAARAUACG
rnacentral:misc_RNA from 1 species